CCUACGGGGCGCAGCAGUGGGGAAUAUUGGACAAUGGGGGGAACCCUGAUCCAGCGACGCCGCGUGAGUGAAGAAGUAUUUCGGUAUGUAAAGCUCUAUCAGCAGGGAAGAAAAUGACGGUACCUGACUAAGAAGCCCCGGCUAACUACGUGCCAGCAGCCGCGGUAAUACGUAGGGGGCAAGCGUUAUCCGGAUUUACUGGGUGUAAAGGGGGCGCAGACGGCAAUGCAAGCCAGGAGUGAAAGCCCGGGGCCCAACCCCGGGACUGCUCUUGGAACUGCAUGGCUGGCGUACAGGAGGGGCAG
rnacentral:rRNA from 1 species